CCUACGGGAGGCAGCAGUGAGGAAUAUUGGUCAAUGGGCGCGAGCCUGAACCAGCCAAGUCGCGUGAAGGAAGACUGUCCUAUGGAUUGUAAACCUCUUUUGUCGGGGAGCAAAGGACACCACGUAUGCCGUUUCGUAAGUACCCGAUGAAAAAGCAUCGGCUAACUCCGUGCCAGCAGCCGCGGUAAUACGGAGGAUGCGAGCGUUAUCCGGAUUUAUUGGGUUUAAAGGGUGCGCAGGCGGAAGAUCAAGUCAGUGGUAAAAUUUUGAGGCUCAACCUCUUAGAGCAGUUGAAACUGGUUGUCUUGAGUGAGCGAGAAGUAUGCGGAAUGCGUGGUGUAGCGGUGAAAUGCAUAGAUAUCACGCAGAACUCCGAUUGCGAAGGCAGCAUACUGGCGCUCAACUUACGCUGAUGCACGAAAGUGUGGGUAUCGAACAGGAUUAGAUACCCCGGUAGUC
rnacentral:rRNA from 1 species